rnacentral:rRNA from 1 species
CCUACGGGUGGCAGCAGUGGGGAAUAUUGCACAAUGGGCGCAAGCCUGAUGCAGCCAUGCCGCGUGUGUGAAGAAGGCCUUCGGGUUGUAAAGCACUUUCAGCGGGGAGGAAGGCGUUAGGGUUAAUAACCUUGGCGAUUGACGUUACCCGCAGAAGAAGCACCGGCUAACUCCGUGCCAGCAGCCGCGGUAAUACGGAGGGUGCAAGCGUUAAUCGGAAUUACUGGGCGUAAAGCGCACGCAGGCGGUCUGUCAAGUCGGAUGUGAAAUCCCCGGGCUCAACCUGGGAACUGCAUUCGAAACUGGCAGGCUAGAGUCUUGUAGAGGGGGGUAGAAUUCCAGGUGUAGCGGUGAAAUGCGUAGAGAUCUGGAGGAAUACCGGUGGCGAAGGCGGCCCCCUGGACAAAGACUGACGCUCAGGUGCGAAAGCGUGGGGAGCAAACAGGAUUAGAUACCCUAGUAGUC